GGGUUAGUCGGGACCUAAGCUGAGGCCGAAAGGCGUAGGUGAUGGACAACAGGUUGAUAUUCCUGUACUACCGAUAACCGUUUGAGAGAUGGGAUGACACAGUAGGAUAAGCUAAGCACACUGUUGGCUAUGUGUGCCCAAGCAUUGAGGCAGUCAAAGUAGGCAAAUCCGCUUUGAUAAUGCUGGGAUGUGAUGGGGAGCGAAAUUUAGUAGCGAA
rnacentral:rRNA from 1 species